GACGAACGCUGGCGGCGUGCCUAAUACAUGCAAGUAGAACGCACAGUUUAUACCGUAGCUUGCUACACCAUAAACUGUGAGUUGCGAACGGGUGAGUAACGCGUAGGUAACCUGCCUGGUAGCGGGGGAUAACUAUUGGAAACGAUAGCUAAUACCGCAUAAUAUUAAUUAUUGCAUGAUAAUUGAUUGAAAGAUACAAUUGCAUCACUACCAGAUGGACCUGCGUUGUAUUAGCUAGUAGGUGAGGUAACGGCUCACCUAGGCGACGAUACAUAGCCGACCUGAUAGGGUGAUCGGCCACACUGGGACUGAGACACGGCCCAGACUCCUACGGGAGGCAGCAGUAGGGAAUCUUCGGCAAUGGACGAAAGUCUGACCGAGCAACGCCGCGUGAGUGAAGAAGGUUUUCGGAUCGUAAAGCUCUGUUGUAAGAGAAGAACGGGUGUGAGAGUGGAAAGUUCACACUGUGACGGUAUCUUACCAGAAAGGGACGGCUAACUACGUG
rnacentral:rRNA from 1 species